AGCGAACGCUGGCGGCAUGCCUAACACAUGCAAGUCGCACGGGGGGGCUUCGGCCUCCCAGUGUCGGACGGGUGAGGAACGCGUAGUGACCUGUCGAGGGGUUGGGGAUAACCGCGGGAAACUGCUGCUAAUACCGCAUGACGCCGCGGCGUGACAGCCGCGUCCAAAGGCGAAAGCCGCCCGCCGAGGGGCCUGCGUCCGAUUAGCUGGUUGGCGGGGUAGCGGCACACCAAGGCGUCGAGCGGUAGCUGGUCGGAGAGGGUGAUCAGCCACACCGGGACUGAGCCACGGCCCGGACUCCUACGGGAGGCAGCAGUGGGGAAUAUUGGAGAAUGGGCGCAAGCCUGAUCCAGCAAUGCCGCGUGGGUGAAGAAGGUCUUCGGAUUGUAAAGCCCUUUCGGCGGGGACGAUGGUGACGGUACCCGCAGAAGAAGCCCCGGCUAACUUCGUG
rnacentral:rRNA from 1 species